GUCGGUGUCGGUGUCACAGAUGAGAUCCAUGCUCUCCAAUGCAGCGAGGCCUUGGAUUCCCAUAUAGUUGGCAGAUUUUUUUUAGAGAACGCCUGAGCCUCUGAGCUGAUGGCUGCCGAUCAGCUGGGAGUGUGGGUCUGUGGGAGCAAGCACUUGCGUGUUCGCCAUUCAUCAGUACUUCGCCUGCGCCUGGCGACUUUCAGGAAAGCUUUCCUUUGUUCAGAUUUGUUUAGUACUCACUUACGUACUCUGCAUGUAUCUAUCUGUUCCAGGCAUCCUGCCUGGACGACCUCGGCCGGGUUCCAUUUGUAGUGCAAUUUGAACAGUUCCAUUACAGUUUACAGCUGUCCAUUACAAGAGCUUGCUCCGCGUUAUUACUACGCGUGUCCACAACGGCAAGCCAUUUUCCAGGUUGUACGUAGUACGCGGCAACCUCGUUCGUGUGUUGUGCUUGUGCCUGGGAUAUAACACAUUAACACCCCAAGAAUGUUUCACGGCCGACAUAUAAUGCCAUGUUGCCAGACCCAACCUGGACUACUGUGGACGCUGAUGCUGCACCAGCAACCAGAAGGGCUACUGCUAGCUACUGCUACUCCCUAGCUAGCCUGCUUGCUUCCUUGCUGUUGGGUAGAUGCUGGUUUCACAAGGCUCCAAAAUCCUCAGUUUGAUGAUGGAUUGAUUACAUGGGGGAUUUCCUUAAAUCUCGAAGGCCCAUUCUGCGCAGCAGGGCCUUACAAAAGCACGGAGGAAUCAUUGCUUUAAUUCUAGAU
rnacentral:lncRNA from 7 species